rnacentral:rRNA from 1 species
CCUACGGGAGGCAGCAGUGAGGAAUAUUGGUCAAUGGACGAGAGUCUGAACCAGCCAAGUAGCGUGAAGGAUGACUGCCCUAUGGGUUGUAAACUUCUUUUAUAUGGGAAUAAAAUGUUCCACGUGUGGGAUUUUGUAUGUACCAUAUGAAUAAGGAUCGGCUAACUCCGUGCCAUCAGCCGCGUUAAUACGGAGUAUCCGAGCGUUAUCCGGUUUUAUUGGGUUUAAAGGAAGCGUAGGUGGAUUGUUAAGUCAGUUGUGAAAGUUUGCGGCUCAACCGUAAAAUUGCAGUUGAAACUGGCAGUCUUGAGUACAGUAGAGGUGGGCGGAAUUCGUGGUGUAGCGGUGAAAUGCUUAGAUAUCACGAAGAACUCCGAUUGCGAAGGCAGCUCACUGGACUGCAACUGACACUGAGGCUCGAAAGUGUGGGUAUCAAACAGGAUGAGAUACCCCAGUAGUC